CGCGGGGUAGAGAAGCAGUAUCUCGCGGGGCCCAUAACCCCGAGACACAGGUGCAAUUCCUGUCCCCGCAA
rnacentral:tRNA from 1 species